rnacentral:tRNA from 2 species
GCGGGUGUGGCGGAACUGGCAGACGCAGGACUCUUAAAAAGUCCGGCUCCCGAGCGUGUGGGUUCGAGUCCCACCACCCGCACCA